rnacentral:rRNA from 1 species
AUGUACCCAGAAACCAAACGUUCCCCUCCCUCGUUUCCAAUCUUACCUUAUCUCUUCAAAACAGCCCGUCUCCCACCUCUCUCUGAGUCUGUCUCCCACCUCCACCCAGCGCCAUUUUUUCUGUCUGUAGCUCCAGGCGACCUGCCGUCUUCUGGUUUUGACCUCGCCACCGUCCUUUGCAGCACUAAGCGAGCGCCGCCAGGCUGUGUCGGCACCCCGUUGCAGCAGACACCAUGCUGCAGGCGCCUGAAUUGCAGCCGUGGGAUGGAGGAGCUCCUCGAUCCGUUCAAAGCAGCAACGGCCUACGACUCGGUGUCACGCAACUCGCCCCCGGCCAUGCAGCAACGGGGGCUUGCUGCGACGGGAGUGGUAUGGUGCAUUGUUGUAUUUGGCCUGUAUCUGGUCCAUUAA